AAAACGGCUCUUUUAAGAGCCACCUUAAACCAUUCCCAGAAGAGCUU
rfam:Pelodiscus sinensis unplaced genomic scaffold scaffold1072, whole genome shotgun sequence.